GACAUCAUAGCCAAGUGGUUACGGCGACAGAUUCGAAUAUUGUGAUGAUCUGUUUCCCUUUGGGAGCGCAGGUUCGAAUCCUGCUGGUGUGG